ensembl:misc_RNA Metazoa_SRP Metazoan signal recognition particle RNA
GCCAGGCGCGGUGGCUCACGCCUGUAAUCCCAGCACUUUGGGAGGCUGAGGCAGGCGGAUCACCUGAGGUCAGGAGUUCAAGAUCAGCCUGACCAACAUGGAGAAACCCUGUCUCUA